GGCGAUUGGAGCUCCCGCGGUGCGGCCGCUCUAGAACUAGUGGAUCCCCCGGGCUGCAGCCCAAUGUGGAAUCGCCCUUCGGUAAUUCCAGCUCCAAUAGCGUAUAUUAAAGUUGUUGUGGUUAAAAAGCUCGUAGUUGAACCUUGGGCCUGGCUGGCCGGUCCGCCUCACCGCGUGUACUGGUCCGGCCGGGCCUUUCCCUCUGUGGAACCCCAUGCCCUUCACUGGGUGUGGCGGGGAAACAGGACUUUUACUUUGAAAAAAUUAGAGUGCUCCAGGCAGGCCUAUGCUCGAAUACAUUAGCAUGGAAUAAUAGAAUAGGACGUGUGGUUCUAUUUUGUUGGUUUCUAGGACCGCCGUAAUGAUUAAUAGGGACAGUCGGGGGCAUCAGUAUUCAAUUGUCGGAGGUGAAAUUCUUGGAUUUAUUGAAGACUAACUACUGCGAAAGCAUUUGCCAAGGAUGUUUUCAUUAAUCAGGAACGAAAGUUAGGGGAUCGAAGACGAUCAGAUACCGUCGUAGUCUUAACCAUAAACUAUGCCGACUAGGGAUCGGACGAUGUUAUUUUUUGACUCGUUCGGCACCUUACGAGAAAUCAAAGUGCUUGGGCUCCAGGGGGAGUAUGGUCGCAAGGCUGAAACUUAAAGAAAUUGACGGAAGGGCACCACCAGGGGUGGAGCCUGCGGCUUAAUUUGACUCAACACGGGGAAACUCACCAGGUCCAGACACAAUGAGGAUUGACAGAUUGAGAGCUCUUUCUUGAUUUUGUGGGUGGUGGUGCAUGGCCGUUCUUAGUUGGUGG
rnacentral:rRNA from 1 species